GGUUUCAAGGCCGAGAGCUGAUGACGAGUCGUCUUUUAGAUGACGAAGUGGUUGAUGCCAUGCUUCCAAGAAAAGCUUCUAAGCUUCAGGUAACCAGGAACCGUACCCCAAACCGACACAGGUGGUCGGGUAGAGAAUACCAAGGCGCUUGAGAGAACUCGGGUGAAGGAACUAGGCAAAAUGGCACCGUAACUUCGGGAGAAGGUGCGCCGGCUAGGGUGAAGGAUUUACUCCGUAAGCUCUGGCUGGUCGAAGAUACCAGGCCGCUGCGACUGUUUAUUAAAAACACAGCACUCUGCAAACACGAAAGUGGACGUAUAGGGUGUGACGCCUGCCCGGUGCCGGAAGGUUAAUUGAUGGGGUUAGCGCAAGCGAAGCUCUUGAUCGAAGCCCCGGUAAACGGCGGCCGUAACUAUAACGGUCCUAAGGUAGCGAAAUUCCUUGUCGGGUAAGUUCCGACCUGCACGAAUGGCGUAACGAUGGCGGCGCUGUCUCCACCCGAGACUCAGUGAAAUUGAAAUCGCUGUGAAGAUGCAGUGUAUCCGCGGCUAGACGGAAAGACCCCGUGAACCUUUACUGUAGCUUUGCACUGGACUUUGAGCCUGCUUGUGUAGGAUAGGUGGGAGGCUUUGAAGCGUGGACGCCAGUUCGCGUGGAGCCAUCCUUGAAAUACCACCCUGGCAUGCUUGAGGUUCUAACUCUGGUCCGUGAUCCGGAUCGAGGACAGUGUAUGGUGGGCAGUUUGACUGGGGCGGUCUCCUCCUAAAGAGUAACGGAGGAGUACGAAGGUGCGCUCAGACCGGUCGGAAAUCGGUCGUAGAGUAUAAAGGCAAAAGCGCGCUUGACUGCGAGACAGACACGUCGAGCAGGUACGAAAGUAGGUCUUAGUGAUCCGGUGGUUCUGUAUGGAAGGGCCAUCGCUCAACGGAUAAAAGGUACUCCGGGGAUAACAGGCUGAUACCGCCCAAGAGUUCAUAUCGACGGCGGUGUUUGGCACCUCGAUGUCGGCUCAUCACAUCCUGGGGCUGAAGCCGGUCCCAAGGGUAUGGCUGUUCGCCAUUUAAAGUGGUACGCGAGCUGGGUUUAGAACGUCGUGAGACAGUUCGGUCCCUAUCUGCCGUGGACGUUUGAGAUUUGAGAGGGGCUGCUCCUAGUACGAGAGGACCGGAGUGGACGAACCUCUGGUGUUCCGGUUGUCACGCCAGUGGCAUUGCCGGGUAGCUAUGUUCGGAAAAGAUAACCGCUGAAAGCAUCUAAGCGGGAAACUUGCCUCAAGAUGAGAUCUCACUGGGAACUUGAUUCCCCUGAAGGGCCGUCGAAGACUACGACGUUGAUAGGCUGGGUGUGUAAGCGUUGUGAGGCGUUGAGCUAACCAGUACUAAUUGCCCGUGAGGCUUGACCAU
rnacentral:rRNA from 1 species